rnacentral:rRNA from 1 species
UACGUAGGUGGCAAGCGUUGUCCGGAAUUAUUGGGCGUAAAGAGCGUGUAGGCGGCCUGACAGGUCUGCUGUGAAAACUCGAGGCUCAACCUCGAGAUGUCGGCGGAAACCGUCUGGCUAGAGUCCGGAAGAGGAGAGUGGAAUUCCUGGUGUAGCGGUGAAAUGCGCAGAUAUCAGGAAGAACACCUAUGGCGAAGGCAGCUCUCUGGGACGGUACUGACGCUGAGACGCGAAAGCGUGGGGAGCGAACAGG